AUCGCAUUCUAUCUACCUCUCUGAACCACAAAAGAGAACGAACAAGGGACAUCAAUCGCAUCUUCUUCUUCAAUUCACCUUCGACAGUCUCAUGCCCGUUUUUAGCUCCGGCCCCCGUUUCGUCAUCUCCUUCAAGCAACGACGUGCAGUCUCCUUCCAAGCUUCAGUUCACGACUUCAUCUCCUCCCGUCACGAAGUUUCUGGGCUCAUGAAGUUUAAAGAUUGCAGUUCUUGAAGUUUAUCGGUUCCAAAAUCAACUAUUCUUCCGACUUCAGCUCCUCUUGUCGACACUAAUUGAGUUAUCCAGCGAAGACGACUCCGACUCCUCCCCUGCAACCGCCGUUAGCCAUCGUCUUCGACUUCUCCCAUCGUAACUUGUUGUUAGCCAUUAUUCAUCGUAUUCACCGUGUUUGGGUCGAUUUAAUGCCUUGAGUUCCAGGAAAUUUGUUUUGACAUCGGAUCUAAAUGGCAGAUGUAAUAGAAUUCAGGAUGAUCGAUCUUCUACAUCCAUUGAUGAUAAGACAAUGGGAAAGGAGAAGGGUAAAGAUGGGAAAGAUAAAGCAGAAACACAAACACAAAGACAAGUAGAGUUCAGAUUGACGCACAUAAGCUGUUUGAUGAAAAUCCUCAAAGAUUUCGAUGUUGUUCUUGGCUUAAGAACAGGGGUUUUUUUGGACCUUCAGCCAUUUUCAUGUUCUGUGCAUUGCAUCAAAUCUCUUUUACAUACUCUGUCUUCACCUCACCUUUGUUCAGAAAAGAUUUGAU